GACGAACCGUGCGAACGUUAUUCGGAAUCACUGGGCUUAAAGGGCGCGUAGGCGGGCCGAAAAGUCAGGGGUGAAAUCCUCCAGCCCAACUGGAGAAGCGCCUUUGCUACUGGUCGGCCUCGGAGGGGUGCAGGGGCAUGCGGAACUCAGGGUGGAGCGGUGAAAUGCGUAGAUAUCCUGAGGAACACCGGUGGCGAAAGCGGCGUGCUGGACACCUUCUGACGCUGAGGCGCGAAAGCCAGGGGAGCGAACGGG
rnacentral:rRNA from 1 species